CUCGUAGGUCGUUUGUUUACGUCGGAUGUGAAAACCUGAGGCUCAACCUCAGGCCUGCAUUCGAUACGGGCAAACUAGAGUUUGGUAGGGGAGACUGGAAUUCCUGGUGUAGCGGUGGAAUGCGCAGAUAUCAGGAGGAACACCAACGGCGAAGGCAGGUCUCUGGGCCAAUACUGACACUGAGGAGCGAAAGUCUGGGGAGCGAACA
rnacentral:rRNA from 1 species